rnacentral:rRNA from 2 species
AGUACUAGGAGUACACUGAAUAGUACACUUGACAGGUACCUGAACCAGAAAGGCUACGGCUAAGUAUCGUGCCAGCAGCAGCCGGUAAUACGUAGUGCGAGAGUUAUCCGGAAUUAUUGGUCGUAAAGCGCGCGCAGGCGGUUUCGUAAGUCUGAUGUGAUAGCACACGACUCAACCGUGGAGGGUCAUUGAAGACUGAGGAACCAGAGUGCAGAAGAGAAAAGCGGAAUUACAAGUGUAGCGGUGAAAUGCGUAGAGAUGUGGAGGAACACCAGUGGCGAAGGCGGCUCAAUGGUCUGUAACUGACGCUGAGGCGCGAAAGCGUGGGGAGCAAACAGGAUUAGAUACCCUGGUAGUCCACGCCGUAAACGAUGAGUGCUAAGUGUUAGAGGGUUUCCGCCCUUUAGUGCUGCAGCUAACGCAUUAAGCACUCCGCCUGGGGAGUACGGUCGCAAGACUGAAACUCAAAGGAAUUGACGGGGGCCCGCACAAGCGGUGGAGCAUGUGGUUUAAUUUGAAGCAACGCGAAGAACCUUACCAGGUCUUGACAUCCUGUGUCAACUUUAGAGAUAGAGCGUUCCCCUUCGGGGGACAGAGUGACAGGUGGUGCAUGGUUGUCGUCAGCUCGUGUCGUGAGAUGUUGGGUUAAGUCCCGCAACGAGCGCAACCCUUGAUCUUAGUUGCCAGCAUUUAGUUGGGCACUUUAAGGUGACUGCCGGUGACAAACCGGAGGAAGGUGGGGAUGACGUCAAAUCAUCAUGCCCCUUAUGACCUGGGCUACACACGUGCUACAAUGGAUGGUACAAAGGGCUGCAAGACCGCGAGGUCAAGCCAAUCCCAUAAAACCAUUCUCAGUUCGGAUUGUAGGCUGCAACUCGCCUACAUGAAGCUGGAAUCGCUAGUAAUCGCGGAUCAGCAUGUCGCGGUGAAUACGUUCCCGGGCCUUGUACACACCGCCCGUCACACCACGAGAGUUUGUAACACCCGAAGUCGGUGGAGUAACCGUAAGGAGCUAGCCGCCUAAGGUGGACAGAGG